AACGCACCUUGCGCUCCUUGGUAUUCCGAGGAGCAUGCCUGUUUGAGUCUCAUGGAAUUCUCAACCUUCAACUUUAUUGAUGAAGGCUUGGACUUGGAGGUUGUGCCGGCUCUUGUAGUCGGCUCCUCUGAAAUGCAUUAGUGCGAACGUUACCAGCCGCUUCAGCGUGAUAAUUAUCUGCGUUGCUGUGGAGGGUAUUCUAGUGUUCACGCUUCUAACCGUCUUCGGACAAAUUUCUGAACCCUGAGCUCAAAUCAGGUAGGACUACCCGCUGAACUUAA
rnacentral:misc_RNA from 1 species